CUGAAAUCGUUGAUGAAGAGAAGUAGGGGGAUUAUUUCUUUAAAGAGAGUCUACUGAUGGUGGAAUGUAGAUAAGAAAGUCUUCUGAAUAACACUUUGGAGAGCUUAAAGAAUAAAGUAGACUAAGCCGGUACUUGCCGUUAUAAGUAAGAGUGACUAUAUUUUAUAGUAAUUUGGGUGGUACCGCGGAAACUAUUCGUCCCUUUU
rnacentral:ncRNA from 1 species